GUCUAUGGCCGUACGACGCAGAAUACACCCGAUCUUGUCUGAUCUUGGAAGCUAAGCAGGGUCAAGCCUGGUUGGUACUUGGAUGAAAAUGCAUUCUUUUAAGCUGGACGUGGUGGUGC
rnacentral:rRNA from 1 species